GACGAACGCUGGCGGCGUGCUUAACACAUGCAAGUCGAACGGAAAGGCCCUGCUUUUGUGGGGUGCUCGAGUGGCGAACGGGUGAGUAACACGUGAGUAACCUGCCCUUGACUUUGGGAUAACUUCAGGAAACUGGGGCUAAUACCGGAUAGGAGCUCCUGCUGCAUGGUGGGGGUUGGAAAGUUUCGGCGGUUGGGGAUGGACUCGCGGCUUAUCAGCUUGUUGGUGGGGUAGUGGCUUACCAAGGCAUUGACGGGUAGCCGGCCUGAGAGGGUGACCGGCCACAGUGGGACUGGGAUACGGCCCAGACUCCUACGGGAGGCAGCAGUGGGGAAUAUUGCACAAUGGGCGGAAGCCUGAUGCAGCAACGCCGCGUGCGGGAUGACGGCCUUCGGGUUGUAAACCGCUUUCGCCUGUGACGAAGCGUGAGUGACGGUAAUGUGUAAAGAAGCACCGGCUAACUACGUG
rnacentral:rRNA from 1 species